rnacentral:rRNA from 1 species
AACGAUCGCUGGCGGCGUGCCUAACACAUGCAAGUCGAACGGGAUUCGGAGCUUGCUCCGAUGAGAGUGGCGCACGGGUGAGUAACGCGUAGAUAAUCUGCCUGGUGAGCCGGGAUAACACUUCGAAAGGGGUGCUAAUACCGGAUAAGCCCACGGAGUCCUAGGACUCGGCGGGAAAAGGGGGGGACCUUCGGGCCUUCUGUCACCAGAUGAGUCUGCGUACCAUUAGCUAGUUGGUAGGGUAAAGGCCUACCAAGGCGACGAUGGUUAGCUGGUCUGAGAGGAUGAUCAGCCACACUGGAACUGAGACACGGUCCAGACUCCUACGGGAGGCAGCAGUGGGGAAUUUUGCGCAAUGGGGGGAACCCUGACGCAGCAACGCCGCGUGAGUGAUGAAGGCCCUUGGGUCGUAAAGCUCUGACAGAGGGAAAGAAAUGUGGGUGGCUAAUAUCCAUACCACUUGACGGUACCCUCAAAGGAAGCACCGGCUAACUCCGUGCCAGCCGCCGCAGUAACAC